AAUGUAUUACUGUAGUGGAUCAGUAAAAAGUGCUGAGCCAGAUCUAAAUGAUGCUACUGUCAAAGUAAAGUGUCCCGGCGUGGCUCUCGAUCCAGUCCCAGCCACUGUCGCAGUAGGUCCGGAUCUGCUCCAGCAUGUGCAGGACCCUCAUCUCCCGGCGGGCUUGGCCCUCAUCCUGCUGACCGCUGCCUCCGUCCGGGCCUUCAUGCAGAAUCUGGACCAGAAGGGGGACGCAGCCAGACUUUCUCAUGGCAAUGCAGCUGUCCUGAGAGCUGGAGAGAGC